rnacentral:misc_RNA from 1 species
AGGGACAAGGUUUCCGUAGGUGAACCUGCGGAAGGAUCAUUAACACGUAUCCAACGUUAAUGUGAACUUUUACACUUGCUCUCGGAGCCCGGAAAAUCAUUGUUGAACAGAUUUUAUUCAGGGACCUCAGUUUGGUGAGUUAGAUCCGAGCGAUCGUUGCAAGUGGCCUGUUUCCCCAAGCAGUCAGUGUCUCAAAGUGUCAAUUGAUUGUGUAAGGAUAACACUUUUCGAUCACUAGGCCGACAGGUCGCAGUGGCUUCGGCCCCCUAUGUUCACCCCACGACCUGAAGUGGCCUCGUAGGAAACUGCUGGACAUCAAAACGAGCAUGGAUAUCUUGGUUCUC